rnacentral:rRNA from 1 species
UACGUAGGGGGCAAGCGUUAUCCGGAUUUACUGGGUGUAAAGGGAGCGUAGACGGCAGUGCAAGUCUAGAGUGAAAGGCGGGGGCUCAACCCCCGGACUGCUCUGGAAACUGUACGGCUGGAGUGCAGGAGAGGUAAGUGGAAUUCCUAGUGUAGCGGUGAAAUGCGUAGAUAUUAGGAGGAACACCAGUGGCGAAGGCGGUCUGCUGGACAGCAACUGACGCUGAGGCGCGAAAGCGUGGGGAGCAAACAGG